rnacentral:rRNA from 1 species
AACGAACGCUGGCGGCGUGCCUAAUACAUGCAAGUCGAACGGAGUGGCGAACGGGUGAGUAAUGUAUUGCUAAUCUGCCCUGCACUAGAGGACAACAGUGGGAAACGGCUUCUAAUACCCUAUAGGGUAGGUUGAGGCUAUAUUGUAUCAGGUAGUUGGUGAGGUAAUGGCUCACCAAGGGUAUGACGCAUACCUGGUGUGAGAGGAUGAUCAGUCACGCUGGAAGUGAGACACGGGCCAGACUCCGACGGGAGGCGACAGUAGGGGAUAUUGCUCAAUGGGGGAAAGCCUGAAGGAGCAACGCCGCGUGGAGGAUGACACUUUGCGGAGCGUAAACUCCUUUUGUUAGGAAAGCGGUAGCUAACGAAUAAGCACCGGCUAACUACGUGCCAGCAGCCGCGGUAAUUC